GGAUGUAGCUCAGUGGUAGAGCGUCCUCUUUGCAUGUGAAGGGCCGGGGUUCGAUCCCCCGCAUCUCCA
rnacentral:tRNA from 1 species